rnacentral:rRNA from 1 species
UACGAAGGGGGCUAGCGUUGCUCGGAAUUACUGGGCGUAAAGGGAGCGUAGGCGGAUAGUUUAGUCAGAGGUGAAAGCCCAGGGCUCAACCCUGGAAUUGCCUUUGAUACUGGCUAUCUUGAGUAUGGGAGAGGUUAGCGGAACUCCGAGUGUAGAGGUGAAAUUCGUAGAUAUUCGGAAGAACACCAGUGGCGAAGGCGGCUAACUGGCCCAUUACUGACGCUGAGGCUCGAAAGCGUGGGGAGCAAACAGG